rnacentral:lncRNA from 1 species
AAAUAUGGGACUGGGAAACAGAGGAGUAAUUGGUGAUAAAUGGUCCUCGAGGAUACUUUGGCUCACUGCUAUUGGAAGUGCAAUUGGUAUGCAACCCAAUAAUAAUUUGCUUGACACUAGCAUGUUUACUGAAGGUCAUGAUUGUUGUGGUUUCUUUAACGAAACUGAAUUUACAUUCGAGUAGUGACUGAUAAUUGUUGUUCCUUUCUAAAAGAAUGUCAAUUGUCGUGUCUUUGUUUAUGUUCCAUGAUUUUGUUGUCUACCAAUAGAUUGAACUAUUCAUGUGGUGAAUUCAUGUUAAAUCGUUCAUCGCUAUAACCUUUUAGAAAUCCAGAAAACCGUGUAUUUACUUCUACAUGAUUGAGGAAGACAUUUCAGUAAAUUAGAGCUUUGGUAUUAUUUUUACGUGCAAUAUUUUUGGAAUAAUAACAGUGUACCGGGAUUUCCCUUGUAGGAUUGAUGAGAAACCCCUGCUUGUAAAGAGUCGGAAAGGAUUCUAGUUGGAUGAUGUAGAAUUUCUUGUUUUUUGUGGUUCCCCAACCCCCGCAAAAAAAAAAAAAAAAAAAAAAAAAAAAUUCUCUCACACACACACACAUCUAGGAGGCCCAUUAGAUUAUUGAGGAUAAGAUUUGGCAUAAUUUGUUAUAGCUUCUGCCUUCAUUCUCUCCCCUUAUCAUUCGCUUCUUUAGGGUUUUAUUUGGUGGCAGUAGAAAGACAAACACAGAAUAGAGAAAAAAUGAUGGCUGAAUCGAUGAUGAAUGCAGGAUCGAGUGCUGAUGGUGGUGAAUAAAUCUGAAUGCAGACUUGUCUAAAUGUAAAAACAGCUCUCUUUUUCCAUAUUUAGCCCCGUUUAGCCCUCAUUCUUUCCAAAUUUUAAUGGUUAGAAUAAAUUUUUUUUUUUUGAAAAAUGUGUGGUUUAAAAAGAACGAAAGUUUUUUUUUUUUUAUUUCUAUGUAAUAUUAUUUUAUGGAAGAUUGUGUGGUUGAAAAUGAGAGAGAGAGAGAAAGAAUAUGAAGGAGAAUGGGCAAACGAGGGCUUAAUGUUUUUAAUUUCUUGACCAAAUCAACUGUUAAAUGCAAGCACUAUUUUGAUUUUCCUAUAUUAUCGUGGAUGUUUUAUUAGCUUUGUUCUACUAUAAGAUAGUAUAAUGCUAUUUGCAGUCAUUCGUUGGAGAGAAGUUCUCAGAAAUUCAAACAUAAAAUAAGGCUUAGCUCCUAUUUUGUAAAAGUCAAAAUCAAUAAUUAAUUUUAAUUACAUUUUUAUAGGUUCCAGAAAUUAUCAACGCACAUUUUAACUCCAUUUAACAAAAUUUACUAAAAUUUUGAUUUUAAUCUUCAACAGUGCUUCAUAUAAUAAAUUAGGGAUGAUUGAGAUUCCCAGGUUGUCAUGGAUUGGUGGAUCAUAAUCAAUAAGAUUAUGACCCCGUUUGAUACACAUUAAUGUAAAAUUGAGAAUGAAAAAUAUAGUCGUUAUGAGCCUCACACAAGAGAUAGAAAGUCAAAUAUGAUGGCUUGAUGUGAUGAAUAACGGUCAUAUUUUUCGUUUUAAUGGGUAAAUAAUGGAACCAAACGGAGGCUAUGUAUGUUGUAAUGCCUUUUUCCAAGAUGAUGUCAUGGAGAAAUGCUUGUUCCUUUUUAAAGCCUCAAUAAAAAGCUUUGACCGAUUAUAAUUUGCUGAUAAAGAUAUGAGAUCCAAGAUCUUCUAUUGGCCCUAUGGACUGAUUGUGUAUACGGCUUCCCUGUUGGAGGGUUGCAUAUCAUGAGAAGUUCAUAUCAAAAUAGGUCCAUGGUCUUGGAUACUGCCCUAGGGCAUCGUUGAUGGUUCAGAGACCUAUCCUUGGCUUCAGAUAUUAUUACAUGAAGACACUUUCAAGAUGUUGGAUAAUUGGGUGACCCUAAGUGUCACAUAGUCAUAAGGGUCUUUCCUUUUAUUUUCAACAGGGAUGAGAAAUAGUUGUGAUAGGACGUGUUAUCAAUUUAGCUCCACUCAAGGUGAAUAUAUAGUAGAUAUCAAUAUGCUCAUAAAGAAAUGAAAAAUAGUCUCACUUUUUAAAUUAUGUAAAUUAAGAGCUACUUUCUACUAAUAAUACUUUAGUCCUCAAAAAUUAAUGGGAGGCCCUAGUUUUAAACAAUCUCUUUAUUUAUUCACCUUUCUUAAUUUACGAACAUAAAGUCUGUUUUUGAAAAAUGGCUUCUUUUUUUAGAAUGUGUUGUUAAAAAGUAAUUAAAAUGUUAUGAAAAAAAAUGUGAAAAUGAUUUGUUUGAGAACAUAUAUUAAUUAAAAAUAAAUUAAAAAAAAUUAUUUCCCAAAAUUGCUCCCGUACAAGGGCUAAAUUUAUAGAGUUAAUUUAAGCAAUAGUCACUAAACUUUGUUAUAAAUUACUAUCUGCUCAUCGAAAUUUAAAAGAUUAUUCUUUGCUCACUGAACUUUGUUAUAAGUUAUUGUUUGCUCACUAAAAUUUAAAAUGUUACUAAUUGUUCGUCCAAAUUUAAACAAAGUUAUCUAUCAAUCACCUACAUUAUUUUCAUAAGUAUUAUCUAUUGCAAUGUUUAGUGAGCAAUGAGUAAUUUUAUUUAAAUUUAGGCGAGCAUUCAGCAGUCUCAUAAAUUUUGAUGAGUAUGUAGUAACUUACAGCAAAACUGAGUAAGCAAUAAGUAGCUUUUUAAAAAUCAGUGAGCAAGUGGAAACAUAUAAUAAAGUUGAGUGAUUGUUUCAAAAAAUAACUCUUAACAAAUAAAAAGAUUGAAAAAUAAAAUCUAAAAUUCUAAGAAAAUAAACUUUCACAAAAAAAUAAAAUUUUGAAAAAUGAAAAAUAAAAAAUCUAAAAAAAUUGAAUUAUAAAAAUUUUAUGAAAAGAUAAAAUUUAUAUUAAAUACUUUAAACUCUAUAUUAUUAUUUUAGAUAUUGGAUAAUUAACACAUAGCGUCCUUACUUUUUCACUAUUAUUAUGAAAAAUGUAUUGACCUUUUUAUUUUUUGGUAUUUUCAACCUUAUUUUCACAUUUAAUUGCACAAAAGAUCAUUUUCAUCUAUUUUUCCAAUCAUAAGCUAUGAAAUCACGAAUAUACUUUUCUAUUUAAAUAUAAUAAAAAGAAAAAGAAAGAACUAAUUACAAUCAUAGCAUGCAAACGAGUUCCAAAUAAAUUAUUAAAAUGGUUAUUAGGAACUUUCACUAUUAUUGUGAAAAAUAUCUAUUUUUUGGUAUUUUCACCUUUAAUUGUGCAAACUAUCAUUUCUAUUCAUUUUCAUAAAAUUUAUCAAUAAAAGUCAUGAAAUGACAAAUAUACCAUUCUAUUUAAAUAAAAAAAUAAAGAAAAUGUUUUUUUAAUUUCUAAUUUUUAAUAAUUUAUUUGGGACUACUUUGUACUUUUUAAAUUUUUUUAAUCUCUAAUUUUUAAUAAUUUAUUUGGGACUCGUUUGUACUUUAAAAAAAUAUAUAAUUUUAAAUCUUUUAAUAAUUUAUUUGGAAUUCGUUUGCACUUUUUUUAAAAAAAUUGAGACUAUAGUUACAAUUAGUUAUUUAUUUUUCUUUUUUUUUAUUUAAAUAAGAGAGUAUAUUAGUUAUUUCAUAGUUAUUUAUUGAGAAAUUGGAUGAAAAUGAAUAGAAAGGAUGAUUUGAGCAAUCAAAUAUUUAAUUAAGGUGAAAAUAUUAAAAAAUGAAAGGUAUUGACGUUUUUCACAAUAAUAAUGAAAGGUAGAGAUAUUAUAUGUUAAUCAUCCAUUUACUAAUUUAUUUGGGAUUCGUUUGCACUUUUUUUUUUAAAGGGACUAUGGUUGAAUUAUUUAUUUAUUUUUAUUUUUAUUUUAUCUAAAUAAAAUGUUAUAUUCGUUAUUUCAGAUUUUUUAUUGAAAAAACGGAUGAACAUGAUCUUUUGUGCAAUGAAAGGUGAAAAUAAGUAUGGAAAUUCAAAAAAAAAAAAAAAAAGGAAAAAGAAAAGAAAGGUUAGGACUUUUUAGAAUAAUAAUGAAGUGUAAGGACGUUAUGUGAUAAUUACACUAAAACACUGAAAUGAAUACAUAUAAACAUAUUUUCAUUUCAUAUCAUACUCAAUUUAUUAUUUGUUUUUUUACAUUUAUAGCGAAAAAAUUGUAUGACUCAUUAAUUUUAAAAUGUUUAUAUUACUUAAUAAUAGAUCAACAUAAAAUUGGCUUAUUUUUGCUAAAUAAUCAAAUUUCAUAGAAUAAAAUGUUAUAAAAAUAAGUUCCCAAAAUUUUAAAUCAAACAUGUUUUCUAGUGUUUUGUUUUGAAAAAUAAAAUUUUCAAAUUUGCAUAUUCGCUGACCUUAUUAUAUUGCUCGUCAUUCAUUUCCUAUUUGAUUGGUCAGGAGGAUGCAAAUAUCAGUUUUACCACAUCUAAAGGUUCUAGAUUUAGGCCAAAAUUCUCUUCAAUCAAUUCCACCGGUAACAUCUCUCUCUCUCUCAAGUAUAAAGGGUGACUUAAGUCCCCAGGUCACAUCUUCAAGUGGUAAAAGGGGAGGGUGGAGAAAUCCAAUUUUACUUGAGACUGUUGCGUUAAAGGUUCGAAUCCUAAAAUAUGGAUUUGAUUUUUGGGUAAGUGCAAGUGUACAAGCAACCUUCCACCUUGUACCCUUGGAGACAUAACUUGCGAUUUACCUCCCUCACGAUAUUUCAGGACAGGGGCGGUGGGGAACCCUUCAGGUUGGGGUUCAACCUUUUUUUAAAGGGUGACUUAAAUUCGAAUUAGAUUUUACUGACACCUCCUGUAGAAGAUUUGACUCAAGACUUUCUAUUUCCAGUUUUGUGCCACUUCAUUACACCCACCGAGCCACCCCAGCGUUGGGCAUAUUAACUUUCUAUAAAUAAAAAAAAAAAUUAAGUUGAACCCCAACUUUCUAUUUCCAGUUUUGUGCCACUUCAUUACACCCACCGAGCCACCUCAGCGUUAGGCAUAUUAACUUUCUAUAAUAAAAAAAAUAAAAUAAAAUUGAGGGCCCCACCGCCCCGCCCCGCCCCUAAAACUUUCUAUAAUACUUGUAUAAAGCCAUGUUCGUCUCAACUUCCCAUUCUUUUAAUUUUAUUAAUAGGCCACCCAUUGACGGGGUAAUGGAUGAUAAAAGAAGAAAAAUUUCAAUUAUCUAACUAAAGGAAAAGAAAAGAAUACUUGUUGGGAAAUAGGGGAAGUCAGCAAUGGACACAUGAGGAUGAGGCUAGGAUUUAUUUCAAUGGCUAUUUUGCUUCUUAAGAUGCCCUAUUAUAGUAUUAUUUUCCCUUUAAAUGUGCAUGGGGGUGUUGAAGUAUUCUGAGUUAAGAAAUGGAAGAAUACGUGAAAAAAAAUAUAUAGAUUAGUCCGAGGCUUGAACCCAUCUGAGUCUAUGGAACGCAUGGAGCUUAUCAUUUGGGCUGUGGAAAACAAUCUGAAUCCUUUUAUAUCACCAUUAAUAUUGCACUUUCUCUGCCAAUUGUAUUUGUUAUACGCUCUCAAGCUCUUCCCUUUCACUCUCCUACUUUAUGUGAUUUUGGGUUUAAUUGUUUCAAUCCUUGCAUUUGUACUCUUAUCCAUCCUAUUAAAAGUUAUAAUUAUACACUAUAGCAUUUGCCUGCAGAGUGUUAAAAAUUUGACUUCUCUUAUGGAGCUUGAUCUAUCAGAUAACAACAUGUCUUCAGUUCCACCAGAACUGGUAACCUUUUUGGUCUUACCAUUUCUUUGAUGGGGUUUUCUGUCAAUUGCGCGAGUUGUUGAUUUCAUCUGAAAGUGUGCUAAUUCUAUUCCCAAUAAAUAAUUUUUACGCUUCCUUUUCUGCUUGAACUGGGAAAUUGAUUCAAUCUUAGCCCUUGUUUGUUUCCCAUUGUUUCAAAAAUUCAGUUUUCCAAAACUCAUUUUUAUCUACACAUUCUUCAAUAAAAUAAUAUUAUGCGUAAAUCCAAAACUUUUCUUUAAUUUUUAAUCAUACAUUCUUCAUCAAUCUACUAUUCAAAAUGCUUUAUUUCCUCUAAAAUGGGGAUCAAACAAGGGCUUAAUAUUUUCUUGAUUGCAAUGAAUGGAUAAAUUCUUAUAAUUGAUGCACAAUGAAUGAACUAAAUGAUGUAAUCAAAGCACUGGGUUCCUUCAUUUUUGCUUUGCCUUGUUGUACUGAAAAAGAGAAAUAAAGGGAAAGGGGAAGAGGAGAAGAAUCUGCUAAUCAAUUGAAAAUUGUUUAGUCAUUAGCAAUAGAUGCUUUCUCACAUUUACCAUGUAUAUUAAGAGAGGAACUUUGUUUCCCAUACUUCUGUUUUGCUAAUUGCUUUUUUGAAUAUCUGGUUCUACAGGGUUUGCUUGAAGCCAACGUGCAAGUACUAAAACUUGAUGGGAACCCAUUGAGAAGGUACAGUUCAUCUUUUAGAUUUACUCUUGUUUGAAGUUUGUGAUUAGAUAAAUGAUUUUUAGCUCAAAUAUUAAGAAUAGGUCUAGUAAGUCAACAAAACCUAGUUGUGUCGUGUCUAUACCCUACACACCCCCAUUCGAAUUAACCAUAUCUAGUAGAGGCAUCAAAAUCUUUGGCGAAUUAACAAUUUCCAAUUUUAAUGUGUAAACAAGGUACAGCAAGGUGGGAUACAAGUAUAUGAUUAUCCUCCAUGUGUGCUGGAAAUCUCCCGUGUUUCACACUUAAAAAAUCCUUCUAGUCAUUUUGUGGUAAUGCUAAAUGCUUAGAACGAUCAAGGUUUUAUUCUACCAAACCAUAGUGAGAAGUGCCUGCCUUCUAAUUUUACACUCGCUCAAUCAAAUUCCCGAUCUUAGUUGCCUACAUUACUUUCAACUAAGUAAUAACUCAGAUAUGAACAGGAGACGACAUGAAAAUCUAAAUCAGAUAUGAACAGGAGACGACAUGAAAAUCUAAAUUAUCUUAAGAGACUACUUUAGUUAAAAAAAAUGUUUUAGAAUAAUUUGAUGAAUCUAAUUGAAAAUUCUUGCCUGGCAAGCUACAAAAGAUGAAAUGCUAUGCUGUUAAUUUUUGUUGAAACACCAUUGUUUAUGCGAGUUGAUAAUAGGAGGAUGCGGAACAAUUAAAAUGCACUUAUAAAAAUUAACGUCUCUGGUUUUUUCAGUAUCGGAAGGGCUAUAUUGGAAGGAGGAACAAAAGCUAUCCUGAAAUAUUUGAAGGACAAAAUCGUUGAGCAAUAAUGGUUUUGUGUCUCUCUUCACGAAGGUGCAUUAGCAGGCUUUGUGUGCAUUAUUUCUGGGUUGAUGAACUGGGAAAGAGCAGAAAUGGUUUGCUUUGAUUUAUUUCAAUUUUCCAAUUGAUUGUGGCGGGCUUGAGUUGAUAUAAUACUUCCAGGUACUUAUAUUAUCAUUGAACAAUCUCUGUUAUUACAACUAGUUUUUAGAUUGCGAUUUGGAUUUUACUUCGUGUGGGCUGAAUCAAAAAGUUGGUGAAAACUUGCGUAAAUCAUCGUCAAU